GCGGCAGUGGCGAUUGGUGUCCUCGUUGUCCUGGCGGGUCUCAUGCAUGGAAAAUGGAGUGAGCGGUAUCAACGCAUCGCUCUCCACUUCCCCAUUCUUCGCCGGCGAUUCUGGUGCGGUAGGAGCGCCCAUGCGGACUCGGACAUGGACGCCUACGAUCAAGUGUAGCUAUCUCUUGUGGCCAUCGCCGUGCCCGCGCGAGCCCGCGACCUACGAAUUCCGUAUCGGAUAUGGGCGCGGAUGCAAUCCGAGUUGCGUUCACUGUCGCGGGUCGCCGCGGGUCCGUCCUGUUCUAUUACCAGUAAGUUAGCACUACGCAGAUCUUGCAGACGCCGUAAUACCUAUACGAUAUUGUCGCGACCGUUGAUGUCAUGC
rnacentral:misc_RNA from 1 species